UGAAGGGAUAAACGAAACUCGCCCUGUCUCAAUCCUAUUACUAAAAAUUAAAUUUUAGGUGCAGAUGCCUAACCUUUUAUGAAAGACAAGAAGACCCUAUAGAGUUUAAAUAGAUAACAUAUUACUAAAUUAAUCUAUUUUAGUUGGGGCGACUAAGGAAAUAAACUUCCUACACCCAAAAGAACCAUUUUUCUAAAUAAAAAUCCUAUAUAAAAGAAAUUAAACUAAACUACCUUAGGGAUAACAGGCUUAUCUUUCUUAAAAGUUCACAUUGACAGAAAGGUCUGGCACCUCGAUGUUGGCUUAAAGAAUCCUUUAAAUGCAACCGUUUACAAGGUUGGUUCGUUCAACCAUUAAAUCUUUACGUGAU
rnacentral:rRNA from 1 species